ACGUAGGGGGCAAGCGUUAUCCGGAUUUACUGGGUGUAAAGGGAGCGUAGACGGCGAGGCAAGUCUGAUGUGAAAACCCGGGGCUCAACCCCGUGACUGCAUUGGAAACUGUUUUGCUUGAGUGCCGGAGAGGUAAGCGGAAUUCCUAGUGUAGCGGUGAAAUGCGUAGAUAUUAGGAGGAACACCAGUGGCGAAGGCGGCUUGCUGGACGGCAACUGACGUUGAGGCUCGAAAGCGUGGGGAGCAAACAG
rnacentral:rRNA from 1 species